GACGAACGCUGGCGGCGUGCUUAACACAUGCAAGUCGAACGGAAAGGCCCUGCUUUUGUGGGGUGCUCGAGUGGCGAACGGGUGAGUAACACGUGAGUAACCUGCCCUUGACUUUGGGAUAACUUCAGGAAACUGGGGCUAAUACCGGAUAGGAGCUCCUGCUGCAUGGUGGGGGUUGGAAAGUUUCGGCGGUUGGGGAUGGACUCGCGGCUUAUCAGCUUGUUGGUGGGGUAGUGGCUUACCAAGGCUUUGACGGGUAGCCGGCCUGAGAGGGUGACCGGCAACAUUGGGACUGAGAUACGGCCCAGACUCCUACGGGAGGCAGCAGUGGGGAAUAUGGCACAAUGGGCGGAAGCCUGAUGCAGCAACGCCGCGUGCGGGAUGACGGCCUUCGGGUUGUAAACCGCUUUCGCCUGUGACGAAGCGUGAGUGACGGUAAUGGGUAAAGAAGCACCGGCUAACUACGU
rnacentral:rRNA from 1 species